rnacentral:rRNA from 1 species
CCUACGGGAGGCAGCAGUGGGGGAUAUUGGACAAUGGGGGAAACCCUGAUCCAGCGAUGCCGCGUGAGGGAAGAAGGUUUUCGGAUUGUAAACCUCUGUGGAGGGGGACGAUAAUGACGGUACCCCUUUAGGAAGCCACGGCUAACUACGUGCCAGCAGCCGCGGUAAUACGUAGGGGGCAAGCGUUAUCCGGAAUUACUGGGUGUAAAGGGAGCGUAGACGGUUAAGUAAGUCUGGAGCGAAAGGCCGGGGCCCAACCCCGGGACUGCUCUGGAAACUAUUGAACUUGAGUGCAGGAGAGGUAAGCGGAAUUCCUAGUGUAGCGGUGAAAUGCGUAGAUAUUAGGAGGAACACCAGUGGCGAAGGCGGCUUACUGGACUGUAACUGACGUUGAGGCUCGAAAGCGUGGGGAGCAAACAGGAUUAGAUACCCUGGUAGUC